UCCAGCUCCCAAAACCUGUCGUGGGUUUUGUCCCAAGUGACUUCAGCCAGCAGAUGGUUCAAGUCCUGAGGCUGCAAAAUUCGGGGUGGAAGGAGUGGGGCGUAAGGCUGAGAGUGGGGAGAGCAAUCCAGGGGCGCCAGGGUGGGAGCCGCAGCGGGCCCGCGGCCGCCCGGAGGACACUGAUGCUUCUGGAGCUCGCGAAGGGUCCCCCGCGGGAGAGGAACAAGGCCGCUUGCGCUCCGCAGAGGCGCAGGCACGGGGCUGGGGCCCGGGGCGGGGGCGCGGGUGGGCGGACCCCUCCCGCAAGCCCAUGAUGGCCAGGCCAAGGCCGCUGGGAAAGGCAGGACGCUCGCCCAUGCGCUGCCAGCUGGGCUUUUCUCCUUCGCCCGCCCUGUGUUCCAGGGCGCGACCCCGUUCGGUCCAGCCGCUGGCUCCGGGGCUGAACCCCAGGUAGAACUGGAAGAUUUUGCUGAAAGAUUGGACAUGGCAUUCAGAGAAACAGAGGUUUUAAUGACAAACUCCAAGUUUUUGGCUGGAGCAACUGGAAGAAUGAGGUUGCCAUGAACCGAAAAGAGAGAUUGCAGAAGUAACCAAAUUUACUCACGUAGGCCAGGAAUUUCUAUGACGUGUUCCAAAUUCAGCCUCUCACUGAACACUUCCAGAGCAAGGCAACAUAAACAUCUGCAAGAAGAACAUUGUGUGAGAAAUAUCAAGUGAGAGUGGAAGAGUCUGCGGAGGGCCUCCCUGGGGCUCACCUGUGCUUUUGCCUGAGCUUCACCGUGUCAAGGAUGCAGCACUUUUUCCCUCUGGAGGAAGCAGCUUUCACCUUGGAAGAAUCUUGACCUUGCCAUUCAAAGUCACCAGACAGGGAAUCUGCCAGUGCCUUGAUCUUAGACUUCCCAGCUUCUGUAACUGUGAGCAAUAAAUGUAUGCUGCUUAUAAACUA
rnacentral:lncRNA from 1 species